GACGUAGGAGGCGAGCGUUGUCCGGAUUCAUUGGGCGUAAAGAGCGCGCAGGCGGCUUGGUAAGUCGGAUGUGAAAUCCCGAGGCUCAACCUCGGGUCUGCAUCCGAUACUGCCCGGCUAGAGGUAGGUAGGGGAGAUCGGAAUUCCUGGUGUAGCGGUGAAAUGCGCAGAUAUCAGGAGGAACACCGGUGGCGAAGGCGGCCUGCUGGGCAGUGGCUGACACUGAGGCGCGACAGCGUGGGGAGCAAACAGG
rnacentral:rRNA from 1 species